AGAACUAAUAAUAUCUAGAAUCGAAUGAUGGAGUAACGUCCUGAAAGGUUCUCCCUAAUACUCCGACAUGCAUAUAUAUAACAAGGUAUAUAUGUAUGAAGCUCGGUAAAGUCAGUUUUGUUACUUCCCUAACAGAUAAUGCUGAGGAAAUGCGAAUUAGAGAUAAUCGAGAAGUAUAUGGACUGGGGGUCA
rnacentral:ncRNA from 1 species